rnacentral:rRNA from 1 species
UGCCAGCCGCCGCGGUAAGACGAACCGUACGAACGUUAUUCGGAAUUACUGGGCUUAAAGGGUGCGUAGGCUGCACGGUAAGUUGGAAGUGAAAUCCUAUGGCUUAACUAUAGAACUGCUUCCAAAACUGCAGACCUAGAGUAUGGGAGAGGUAGAUGGAAUUUCUGGUGUAGGGGUAAAAUCCGUAGAGAUCAGAAGCAAUACCGAUUGCGAAGGCGAUCUACUGGAACAUAACUGACGCUGAGAUGCGAAAGCGUGGGGAGCAAACAGGAUUAGAUA